UACGGGGGGAGCAAGCGUUGUUCGGAUUUACUGGGCGUAAAGGGCGCGUAGGCGGUCGUGACAAGUCACUUGUGAAAUCUCCGGGCUUAACUCGGAACGGUCAAGUGAUACUGUCGGACUAGAGUACAGAAGGGGCAACUGGAAUUCUCGGUGUAGCGGUGAAAUGCGUAGAUAUCAGGAGGAACACCGGUGGCGAAGGCGCUCAUCUGGCCCAAUACUGACGCUGGAGGCGACGAAAGCUAGGGGAGCAAACGGG
rnacentral:rRNA from 1 species